CGGAUCCGCGCCGCUGCAGAGUUUGAUCCUGGCUCAGAUUGAACGCUGGCGGCAGGCUUAACACAUGCAAGUCGAGCGGUAACAGGAGAAGCUUGCUUCUCGCUGACGAGCGGCGGACGGGUGAGUAAUACUUAGGAAUCUGCCCAGUAGUGGGGGAUAGCUCGGGGAAACUCGAAUUAAUACCGCAUACACCCUACGGGGAAAAGGGGGCACUUGUGCUCUCGCUAUUGGAUGAGCCUAAGUCGGAUUAGCUAGUUGGUGGGGUAAAGGCCUACCAAGGCGACGAUCUGUAGCUGGUCUGAGAGGAUGAUCAGCCACACCGGGACUGAGACACGGCCCGGACUCCUACGGGAGGCAGCAGUGGGGAAUAUUGGACAAUGGGGGCAACCCUGAUCCAGCCAUGCCGCGUGUGUGAAGAAGGCCUUUUGGUUGUAAAGCACUUUAAGCAGUGAAGAAGACUCUAUGGUUAAUACCCAUAGACGAUGACAUUAGCUGCAGAAUAAGCACCGGCUAACUCUGUGCCAGCAGCCGCGGUAAUACAGAGGGUGCAAGCGUUAAUCGGAAUUACUGGGCGUAAAGCGAGCGUAGGUGGCUUGAUAAGUCAGAUGUGAAAUCCCCGGGCUUAACCUGGGAACUGCAUCUGAUACUGUUAGGCUAGAGUAGGUGAGAGGGAGGUAGAAUUUCAGGUGUAGCGGUGAAAUGCGUAGAGAUCUGAAGGAAUACCGAUGGCGAAGGCAGCCUCCUGGCAUCAUACUGACACUGAGGUUCGAAAGCGUGGGUAGCAAACAGGAUUAGAUACCCUGGUAGUCCACGCCGUAAACGAUGUCUACUAGUCGUUGGGGAACUUGAUUCCUUAGUGACGCAGCUAACGCAAUAAGUAGACCGCCUGGGGAGUACGGCCGCAAGGUUAAAACUCAAAUGAAUUGACGGGGGCCCGCACAAGCGGUGGAGCAUGUGGUUUAAUUCGAUGCAACGCGAAGAACCUUACCUGGUCUUGACAUAUCUAGAAUCCUGCAGAGAUGCGGGAGUGCCUUCGGGAAUUAGAAUACAGGUGCUGCAUGGCUGUCGUCAGCUCGUGUCGUGAGAUGUUGGGUUAAGUCCCGCAACGAGCGCAACCCUUUUCCUUAGUUACCAGCGGUUUGGCCGGGGACUCUAAGGAUACUGCCAGUGACAAACUGGAGGAAGGCGGGGACGACGUCAAGUCAUCAUGGCCCUUACGACCAGGGCUACACACGUGCUACAAUGGUAGGUACAGAGGGCAGCUACACAGCGAUGUGAUGCGAAUCUCAAAAAGCCUAUCGUAGUCCAGAUUGGAGUCUGCAACUCGACUCCAUGAAGUCGGAAUCGCUAGUAAUCGCGGAUCAGAAUGCCGCGGUGAAUACGUUCCCGGGCCUUGUACACACCGCCCGUCACACCAUGGGAGUUGAUUGCACCAGAAGUGGGUAGCCUAACUUUUAGAGGGCGCUCACCACGGUGUGGUCGAUGACUGGGGUGAAGUCGUAACAAGGUAA
rnacentral:rRNA from 1 species